CAGCCGCCGCGGGAAUACAGAGGGUGCGAGCGUUAAUCGGAUUUACUGGGCGUAAAGCGUGCGUAGGCGGCUUUUUAAGUCGGAUGUGAAAUCCCUGAGCUUAACUUUGGACUUGCAUUGGAUACUGGGAAGCUAGAGUAUGGGAGAGGAUGGUAGAAUUCCCGGUGUAGCGGUGAAAUGCGUAGAGAUCUGGAAGAAUACCGAUGGCGAAGGCAGCCAGCUGGGCUAAUACUGACACUGAGGUACGAAAGCAUGGGGAGCAAACAGGAUUAGAUACCCCGGUAGUCCCUGUCUCUUAUAC
rnacentral:rRNA from 1 species